GCCUGGACCAUGCAAUUAGUCGGUACAGCAUGAGACUCCUAAUCUCAGGGUUGUGGGUUUGAGCCCCACGUUGGACG